rnacentral:rRNA from 1 species
AGAUUGAACGCUGGCGGCAGGCCUAACACAUGCAAGUCGAGCGGCAGCACGGGUACUUGUACCUGGUGGCGAGCGGCGGACGGGUGAGUAAUGCCUAGGAAUCUGCCUGGUAGUGGGGGAUAACGCUCGGAAACGGACGCUAAUACCGCAUACGUCCUACGGGAGAAAGCAGGGGACCUUCGGGCCUUGCGCUAUCAGAUGAGCCUAGGUCGGAUUAGCUAGUUGGUGAGGUAAUGGCUCACCAAGGCGACGAUCCGUAACUGGUCUGAGAGGAUGAUCAGUCACACUGGAACUGAGACACGGUCCAGACUCCUACGGGAGGCAGCAGUGGGAAUAUUGGACAAUGGGACAAAGCCUGAUCCAGCCAUGCCGCGUGUGUGAAGAAGGUCUUCGGAUUGUAAAAGCAACGUUUUAAGUGGAGGAAGGCUAGUUACCUAAUACGUAUCUUGUUUGACGUUACGA